AGUGAACGCUGGCGGCAGGCCUAACACAUGCAGGUCGAACGGCAGCACAGUAAGAGCUUGCUCUUACGGGUGGCGAGUGGCGGAUGGGUGAGGAAUACAUCGGAAUCUACUUUUUCGUGGGGGAUAACGUAGGGAAACUUACGCUAAUACCGCAUACGACCUACGGGUGAAAGCAGGGGAUCUUCGCACCUUGCGCGAUUGUAUGAGCCGAUGUCGGAUUAGCUAGUUUGCGGGGUAAAGGCCCACCAAGGCGACGAUCCGUAGCUGGCCUGAGAGGAUGAUCAGCCACACUGGAACUGAGACACGGUCCAGACUCCUACGGGAGGCAGCAGUGGGGAAUAUUGGGCAAUGGGCGCAAGCCUGACGCAGCCAUACCGCGUGGGUGAAGAAGGCCUUCGGGUUGUAAAGCCCUUUUGUUGGGAAAGAAAAGCAGCAGGUUAAUACCCCGCUAUUCUGACGGUACCCAAAGAAUAAGCACCGGCUAACUUCGUG
rnacentral:rRNA from 1 species